CCGCGACUGUGGGCUGGGGGCUGCUACUGCGCCUCUCGACAAACAUACACACAGCCACGCAAUCCCGUCCAUCGGACCCCCCUCCAUCGCCUUUGUCUUUCCUUUCUUCGUGUGCUACCGUUUCGUCUUACCGACUCCCCCCCCACCGCUGUGCGUGCGCCUGUGGGCUUGAGAACUGCAUAGAUGUCGUUCUAUACAAAGUGAUUUGGCCGCUUCAAUGAAAUCGUGAACGCAACACGUGCGCGGUAGGUGGAGGCGAGGUGGGGUGGGGGGGGGAUUGCGGGGACUAGCGGUUCUUCUUGUCACCCCUCUCGCUCGCAUGCGUGUGCGCGCGCACACGUCAAGUCGAUGCACAGAGAGAGAGAGGUGGUCGAGUUUGGCGCAUCUUCAUGCAUGCAAUCGUAUUUUGUACGACUCGAAUGGUCGCAGACGAGAUGGGUGGAUUCCUCGCUGAGGAGAACCGACGGUGCUCUUCGCUGUUGCUCUUGUAGUGAUGUAACAAGCGAGAUGUGGAGAAAGGAGUACACAGGUGGUUGCCCUGGGGUGGGAUGAGGGAGCGCGGUGGGCAAUAGAGGCUGCGCCAGGUACGCCGACCGUCUUGUGCCACGCCUGCGCACAUGAAGAAAGUAGACGUCCAUGUAGAGGUGAGGGAGGAAGAGGAGGGGGAGGCACGAGAGGCGGACGUGCACAGGGUCCCGCAUGUAAGCGAGUUCACCCCCUCUAAAGCGAGAACGCACGAGCACACACCGACACCACCUAGUAUUAGGGUUCCAUUCCUUAUCGCUAUUGUUGUGCUUCAAGGGCCCUGUUCCGACUCUUUGCGGAACUUUCACC
rnacentral:misc_RNA from 1 species